ACCCAACUGACGGCUCCCAAAUAGGACGAAAUGCGAAUCCUGGAU
rnacentral:hammerhead_ribozyme from 1 species